rnacentral:lncRNA from 1 species
AGGCAUUUUGAGCUUCCAGUAGCCUGUGAGGAGGAGGACAGUCAGGGCUGGUGUCCCCUGGGCUCUGUUGGUCUGGGUUAUUCUCUGGAAAGGGAAUUCAGUUGAAAGGGAGUUUUGCAUAUCCUUUAGAUGACAGAAGGUAACACAUAGGGCCCAAAGGAGCCUCAUGCCAUGCUGGUCACUGUGAACCCCUCCUCUCCCUGUCUUUUUUUUUUUUUUUUUUUUGAGGAAGAUUAGCCCUGAGCUAACUACUGCCAAUCCUCCUCUUUUUGCUGAGGAAGACUGGCCCUAAGCUAACAUCCAUGCCCAUCUUCCUCUACUUUAUACGUGGGAUGCCUACCACAGCAUGAUCCAAACCGGCGAACCCCGGGCCGCUGAGAAGCAGAACGUGUAAACUUAACUGCUGUGCCACCAGGCCGGCCCCACCUCUCCCUGUCUUAAUCCCAGGAUGGGUCAGACAAGGGGGCACAAUGUUGAGCAUCAGAACCACAAACCAAUAGUUUAUCACAGCAGGAGGUUAAGCAUGACUCUGCCAGCAGCACCCCUGGGCAAAGCCCUGGCUGGUGCGCACAUGGGAAUAUACAAAAUGGGCAGGGACAGCUGCCAGGCAUAUACAAAGUUCAAAAGGCCAUCAGGUCGGAACCAGAUAGCUGAGCAAUCUGUUCAGCUUAACACAGACACGUGAGGACAAUGCCGUUUCCAUUUGUUGAAGGGCCAACAGGAGGAAAAACGAUCAUUAUGAGGGCCAGAUAACUCAGAGAGGACCCCCUGUGCUGGGAGAACUCAAGAGAGUGAGCCCACCACUUUAACUGGACCUUAAAGCGGGGUUUAAAAACCUAGAAGAGAAGAAGGUUUGGUGUCUAAAGGCUGUUAAAAAAAGGAGGCUUGCCCUGGGAAGAAAGGUCACACACAGUCUCUGGACUUAGUCCUCCAUCUGCCACGUUCUGGAUACGGUUUUUAGUUCAUUGGCAGGUGUAUGUUCCAGAACACCCUUGGGGACAGGAGAAACACAACCAUUUAUUGUGAAUAAUUCUAGGGUGGAUUUACUCUCGUCGUCAGAGUUGGACGUGCCUCGUUCAUCUAGGCUGGAGGGUUGUAAUGCAGAAGUCUUCACCUCCCAGCGGGAGAAUCGCUGCACGUCCCACAGCUUCUGUGGGGAGGGCAGAGAGCCUCCGAACCCUACAGGGGGCAGCUCUUCUAGGGCUGGCACAAAUGGAACUCAGCAUGGGCAGAGGGCCGUCUGGAGUGGGGAGCUCCCUAGGGAGGGAAUCAGGUGAGGGUACCAUGCAGAACACGGAAGGUCCAGGGUGGAUUGACAAACUCUGGGUCAAGAUGGAGGAAGGGUCCCAGUUGUAUAAACGUUCAAGAAAAAAUUGGGAGCAGAACAGAUUGACUGGAAAACAUGUAAGGAAAUCAUUUUGAAAAAACAGCAAAUCUGAAAAUACCAGAUGCUGGUGAGGAUGUGGGAAAAUGGAUGCUUUUAAACAUUGUAGUUGGGAAGUCCUCUUGGACCAGUAGGCAACACCUAAUAAUUCUGAAGGUGUGCACAUCCCACACCCAGCAGGGCGGCUCCCACUGAGGUCUUUGGCACAGGUGUUCGAGAAAACAAGUACAAAGAUAUUUAUUGAAGCACUGUCUGUAAUAGCAAAAAAAAAAGUGAAAACAAUCUGUCUUCAGCAAAAGGACAAAGUGAACUCUGGCUUGCUCAUCGGAAGUACUGUAUCUUGCAGUUAAAAUGAAUGAACUAGAUCUUCAUGUAUCAACAUGUAUAAUCUCAAAACCAUAUUGAGUUAAAAAAGCAGGUUGCAAAGUGGUACGCACAGUGAUUCCUUUUACAUCAAGGUUCAAAACGUAAAGAAAUAGUACUGUUCUGUUUAGAAAUGCAUUUAUAAUCUGGAGCAAACAGAAACACGUGGGGGUUAUUUUCACCAACCUCGGGAAGUGGUUACUUUGGAGGAGAAAGAGAGGGAAAAGCGAUAUAGGGCAUUAGCUAUUUCUAUAAAGCUUUAUUUCUGGGGGAAAAAACCUGAAGAAAAUAAGGCAAAAUAUUAGCAUCUGUUUAAUCUUGGUGGCAGAUACAGACGUCUACCCAUAUUACAUUUUAUACUCAUGGUUGGCUGAAUAACAGCCCCCAAAGAUGUCCCCCCAUGUCCUAAUCCCUAGAACCUAUGAACAUGCUACCUUCUGUGGUAAAAGGGACUUUGCAGGUGGGAUUAAGUUAAGGAUCCUGAAACGGGAGAUUAUCUUGAAUUAUCCCAGUGGGCUCAAUGUAAUCACAAGGGUCCUUAGAAGAUAAGGAGCCCGGAGGGUCAGAGUCAGAGAAAGAACAUGUGACAAUGGAAGUGAGGUUGGAGGGAUGAGCUUUGAAGAUGGAAGAAGGGGCCACAAGCCGAGGAAUGCAGACGGUUCCUAGAAGCUGGAAAAGGCAAGAAAACAGAUUCUCCCUUGAAGAUUCCAGAAGGAACAGCCCUACCAACACCAUGCCUUUAGACUUCUCACCUCCAGAAGCGAGAACAGUGGCAAGGCCUAAGUUCCGUCUCCGGUUCCUCGUCCUUCAGAGGAGGCUGUUUGGCAACGCUUCUCUCAACUAGCCCCUGUAUUGAAGAGGCCGAGCUGUGUGCCCAUCUCAGGUCAAGCUGCCAGAAGCUCACAGAAGUCUGAGGGUGACUGCAGAAAUGACCUUGAGACACUGCACCAGGAGCUCCCCUUCCACGCUCCCGGACCCUCAUGCGCCUCCUGAAGGAGCCGCGUGGACUUCUUGGGGCCAGCCACUGGCAAGGAGCUUUGCCUGGGAGUGGAGACAACGUUGGCUCCAGAUGUUAGAUGGCUAGGCCUCCUCAAGGCCAGAGCACUUCUGCCACGGGGUUGGUGGGGGAGACAACAGCGCUGUGCUAACAGGAGCCUCCCCCCUCCCCCCCGGACUUGGGUCCAUGCCCUCCCCGGGGGACUGGGCAGGAGGGAGGCAGCUGAGACCUGAGCUGUUGCAGGUGCGAAGUACUCAGCCAAGCGAGCCCAUUUGUCAAAGAAGUUGGACUUAAAAGGAAGGAUACUGACAGGAGAGGGGAUUAAAAGGCAUGGAAGGAUCCAGAAAGAGAGAUUUUCAAGAAAAGAAACACCUGUGUAGAUGUGUGUGUGUGUGCACAUAGGCACACACAGAGGCCCCAGGGAGGGGGCUGUGGAGGGGAGAGAAGCUGGAGAGAGGCGGGUGGCUGUGGGGGAGGCUGCAGGGCCCAGAACACGGCACGGGCAGAAGAGCAGUCUCAGGCGGGACGAAAGACAGUUCUUCUCUUUCCAGAUCUGGACACUGGGUGGGAAAGACAUGGACACGGGUCUGGGAGGACACCCGCCGGCCCCACGUGGCCGCAGUAUGGGAGUGGACGACGGGAGGGUCCAGGGCCUUCACUCUGUCUGCAUCACCUGAGCUGUUUUCCAAUAACGACGUAUUCCUACACUACUUGAGAAAUUGAAAAUAAACACAUUAGGAAGCUGCCGGGUGGCAGAACCACACCACUCGUCUGUCAGUAGCCAUGCUGAGGCGGUGGCUCACACCAAAGAACUAGACGGACUCACAACUAAGAUAUACAACUGUGCACUGGGGGGCUUGGGGGGAAAAAAAAAAGAGGAAGCUUGGCAACAGAUGUUAGCUCAGGGCGAAUCCUUCCCUGCAAAAAACAAAUAAAUAAACACACUAGACCCCAUGAGCAGCACAGACAGUAGGCACUAGAGUUGUCCAGAGACGGGUCAGGCAGGUGUAGGACUCACCGAAGGGGUGGGCUGGGGUGCAAUUUGACCAGGUGAUGAGGGUACCUAGGGGGAAGAGCUGAGGGGGUGAAGGGAAGGCCUGGCAGGUCUUGAAGGUGGCAGGACCCCCAUGGCCAGAGUGAGGCCCCUGUUGGAGAGGAACUGGCAGCUGAGGAGAUGCCGACCAGCUGCUUCAGGGCCUCUGGGAAGCUUGUUUCAAAGCUCGGACUCCACCCCCACCCCCACGCCACACACACAGAUUCUGAGUCAGGAGGCCUGCCCCAGGCUCUGGAAUUCCCAUUUGUUUAAGUUUCCCCAAUGAUUCUGAUGGGUCACCAGGAUUCUGCUGGGGAUGGGGGGAUUGCCAUGUGAGCAGGGCUCCAGGCCUCACACCCCCUCCAACCAGGGCUGCUCAGCACUUAUGUUUUGCAUGGGGGCAGCCAAAAUCCUGCAUCUAUGGCUAAAAAUAAAGUGUGAACACCUCCAGGGCAGAAUGGAAGUGGCUAUGUCACUUUGAAGGAAACUGGGUUGUACUCAGCACGACCAUAGUUCUGACUGGCCACGCAACUGUUGAGACAGCGUGGGCCCCAGGGGAGAAGGGCAGGAGGAGUGGGACGAGAGUGGAAAAGAAAUGGCACGGCCAAGAGACAUUUUAGAAGAAUCAGAGGAAAUGGGGAUGCACAAAGGGUGAUGAGAAAGAUAAGCCCUCGACCCAGAGGGGGAGUUGUCACCAGAGGGUCCUGGGGCAGCCGUAUUUCAGGGAAGGUUCCGAGUUAGGGUAUGACGGGAAAUGGCAGGUGGAACCCUCGGCCAGGGUAAAUUUGCUUUCACGGCCACCUUGAGGAUGCGGCUGUCCUGCAGGAGAGAGGAUGGCUGGGGCGCCCUGGGCCACACUAGGGAGCUCCAGGAGGACAGCAGGAGGAGAGGACUCAGGGAACUCACAGGGGAACGCUCAGGUGAUGUGGCAAAUUUCCCAUAAAAGAGUAUUCUCCCGGUCACCUCUCCUUUCCGAGAGACCGUCUCCCUGGGAAGGCCUGGGACAGCCCAGCGCCAUGGUGACAGCAAGGUGGGGGAUGGGGGAGGCAGAGCCAGUGAGGCCCUGUUGCAAUCUGCUGACCCUAUCCCCCUACAAAGAACUUCUCACCACAGACAAUCUGGCCCCAGCAUCACGGCUCCAUUACCUGGAACCCGACAUCCGAGCUACUUCCCAAGGGCCUGGCUCCUGCUCCUCUGACAGCUUCUCUCCACACGAUGUCCGCCCGUCUCCUGGCCCCACUCAAUCCGAGGUCCCUACACCUCAGAGCAGAAGACAGAGCGGGAGGCCCUUUCCAUGGGUGACAGGACCCAGGAGGGGCUGAGUCAACCCUCAGACGCACCCCAGCUCAGACUAUUACUUAUCAACUGCAUUUUUUAUUAAGGUACCAAAACACAAGAUAACGUUCUGGCACAGUGUGUUCAGAAUUUAAAUAAAUAUAACAUAAGACAGGCCCAGGAGAAUUGGGUAUACAAUCAAGAAAGAGGAUGCGGCCAGCCUGGUGGUGCAGCGGUUUUGUGCACGCUUUCUGCUUAGGUGGCCCAGGGUUCGCCGGUUCGGAUCCUGGGUACGGAUGUGGCACCGCUUGUCAAGCCAUGCUGUGCAGUAAUCCCACAUAUAAAGUAGAGGAAGAUGGGCACGGAUGUUAGCUCAGGGCCAGUCUUCCUCAGCAAAAAAAGAGGAGGAUUGGCAGCACUUAGCUCAGGACUAAGCUUCCUCAAAACAAAAAAAAAGAUAGAGGAAAAAAUUAUAAAUGCAUUUUUUUCUUUCUGUUUUAGCAACAGUGCUGCCACAAGCAUUUUUGUAGCUAUACAUUUUGGACACCUUCAAGAUUCCUUCCAGAUCACUUCCAGAGGUGGAAUAGAUAGGUCAUAGGGUACUGGGAAUUUUAAGGCUUAAUUUUCCUCCAAAAAAGGCUUUUCCAGUUAUUGUGCAUUCCUAGAAGUAAUUCGCAAGAAGGCCUGUGCCCAGCAGUGGGUAUUCAUUUGCUGGUCUGUUAGGUAAUAAGGUGAAAUGUUAUCUCAAAUGGUUUUAUUUUUGCUUUGCUUUGAGUAUUAAGGAGGUUGAGGAUUUUCUUCUCUUAUUAACCAUUUGGUCAUUAUUUUGAUUAAUCUACCUGCUGACAUCCUCCAUCUCUCUCUUUGGUGCCCUAUACUUUACAAGCUCUUUGUACAUUAAGGAUAUUUGCCUCUGUUGCCA